UAUUGCUCAGUAACACGUAGCUAACCUACCCUUAAGUGGAGGAUACUCUCGGGAAAGUGAGGUUAAUACUCGAUAGGAGAUGUACCCAGGAAUGAUUCAUCUCUCAAAUUCGUGCUUAAGGAUGGGGCUGCGGCGGAUUAGGUUGUUGGGGGGGUAAAGGCCCACCAACCCAAUGAUCCGUAAGGGCUCUUAGCGGAGAGGCCCUGAGAGGGAAUCUGAGACACUAUUCCCAGCCCUACGGGGUGCAGCAGUUAGGAAUUUUCUGCAAUGUACGAAAGUAUGACAGAUUGAGUCAGAGUGCUUUUCAUAUGAAAAGCUUUUGCCAAAUGUAAAAAGUUUGGCGAAUAAAGACUGGGUAAGACGAGUGCCAGCAGCCGCGGUAAUACAAUAA
rnacentral:rRNA from 1 species